rnacentral:tRNA from 1 species
GCGCGAGUGGUGAAAUUGGCAGACACGCAGGAUUUAGGUUCCUGUGCCUUCGGGCGUGGGGGUUCAAGUCCCCCCUUGCGCACCC